AGAAAAUGCAACGGUUCAAUGACAUAUCAUUUUUUUGUCUGAUAUAAAUACAGAUGUGUUACUAACAGAAAGCAGAAACAAUGAACUACUGCUUAAACACACUGUUACUCAUAUGCUCUUAGCAAAAAAAAAAAGAAGAAAAAUGCCAAAUAUAAAGAGAAAAUUUCAAAAUAUUUAUUUUCGUGAUCAGCACAAACAUUUUUGCAAAUAACUAAUUUUUCAGGAUGUAAGCCUCAAAUAUCACGUACUAACGCAAAAUAAGUCAGAAGCAUUCACGUAUAAUUUUCGAUUUUAUCGACUUUUACGGAC
rnacentral:lncRNA from 1 species